GCGGGGAUUGCCUAGCCUGGUAAGGCGCAGGAUUGCUAAUCCUGUGGCUGAUAAAGCCCCGCGGGUUCGAAUCCCGCUCCCCGCG
rnacentral:tRNA from 1 species